UACGUAGGGUGCAAGCGUUGUCCGGAAUCAUUGGGCGUAAAGCGCGCGUAGGUGGCCUCAUAAGUCCGCUGUGAAAGUCCAAGGCUCAACCUUGGAAAGCCGGUGGAUACUGUGAGGCUAGAGUACGGAAGAGGCGAGUGGAAUUCCUGGUGUAGCGGUGGAAUGCGCAGAUAUCAGGAGGAACACCAAUAGCGAAGGCAGCUCGCUGGGACGUUACUGACACUGAGGCGCGAAAGCGUGGGGAGCGAACAGG
rnacentral:rRNA from 1 species